AUUGAACGCUAGCGGGAUGCUUAACACAUGCAAGUCGAACGAGUGGCGGACGGGUGAGUAAUAUCUCGGAACGUGCCCGAUGGAGGGGGAUAACUACUGGAAAGGGUGGCUAAUACCGCAUACUAUCAGAUCUGCCCAUAUGGGAUUAGCUUGUUGGUGGGGUAAAGGCUCACCAAGGCAACGAUCCGUAGCUGGUUUGAGAGGAUGACCAGCCACACUGGGACUGAGACACGGUCCAGACUCCUACGGGAGGCAGCAGUGGGGAAUAUUGGACAAUGGGGGAAACCCUGAUCCAGCCAUGCCGCGUGUAUGAUGAAGGCCUUCGGGUUGUAAAGUACUUUGGGCAGAGAGGCGGUAUCUGCAGAAUAAGCACCGGCUAACUACGUGCCAGCAGCCGCGGUAAUAC
rnacentral:rRNA from 1 species